rnacentral:rRNA from 1 species
UACGGGGGGGAGCAAGCGUUGUUCGGAUUUACUGGGCGUAAAGGGCGCGUAGGCGGCGCAACAAGUCACUUGUGAAAUCUCCGGGCUUAACCCGGAGCGGCCAAGUGAUACUGUCGUGCUAGAGUGCGGAAGGGGCUACUGGAAUUCUCGGUGUAGCGGUGAAAUGCGUAGAUAUCGAGAGGAACACCUGCGGCGAAGGCGGGUAGCUGGGCCGACACUGACGCUGAGGCGCGAAAUGCCAGGGGAGCGAACGGGG